GGGGUUUUAGUAUAAAGGCAAUACUUAAUGACUUUUAAUCAUCCAGAUGUUGGUUCGAAUCCGGCAAAUCCCA
rnacentral:tRNA from 1 species